UACAGAGGUCUCAAGCGUUGUUCGGAUUCAUUGGGCGUAAAGGGUGCGUAGGUGGUGGGGUAAGUCGGAUGUGAAAUCCCGGGGCUCAACCCCCGGAACUGCAUUCGAAACUGCCUUGCUCGAGUACUGGAGAGGAGACUGGAAUUUACGGUGUAGCAGUGAAAUGCGUAGAUAUCGUAAGGAAGACCAGUGGCGAAGGCGAGUCUCUGGACAGUUACUGACACUGAGGCACGAAGGCCAGGGGAGCAAACGGGAUUAGAAACCCCUCGU
rnacentral:rRNA from 1 species